rnacentral:rRNA from 1 species
GAUGAACGCUGGCGGCGUGCCUAAUACAUGCAAGUCGAGCGAACGGACGAGAAGCUUGCUUCUCUGAUGUUAGCGGAGGACGGGUGAGUAACACGUGGAUAACCUACCUAUAAGACUGGGAUAACUUCGGGAAACCGGAGCUAAUACCGGAUAAUAUUUUGAACCGCAUGGUUCAAAAGUGAAAGACGGUCUUGCUGUCACUUAUAGAUGGAUCCGCGCUGCAUUAGCUAGUUGGUAAGGUAACGGCUUACCAAGGCAACGAUGCAUAGCCGACCUGAGAGGGUGAUCGCCCACACUGGAGCUUAGACACGGUCCAGACUCCUACGGGAGGCACCAGUAGGGAAUCUUCCGCAAUGGGCGAAAGCCUGACGGAGCAACGCCGCGUGAGUGAUGAAGGUCUUCGGAUCGUAAAACUCUGUUAUUAGUGAAGAACAUAUGUGUAAGUAACUGUGCACAUCUUGACGGUACCUAAUCAGAAAGCCACGGCUAACUACGUG